GGAAAGGGUCCGGAGAGUUCGAUAAGGGAUGAGAAAGGCAGUUCCCCGAGCAGGGAAGGAGUGGGAGAGUAUCGCUGCAUGGGACCUUGGUCCUCUGGGCUUGUGUGUUGAGAGUGUGUUGAGAACAACAGCCCUGGUCUCUGGCUCUGCUGCAGUCACAGCUCUGCCUGGACCAAAGGCACUCUGACAGUUUCAUGGCCACGACAGAAAUCAGCCAAAGCCCAGAAGGUGAGCAGUGACACCACCUAGAAAACCGCGCUGCACCGUGUCUGUGACAGCAAGAGACGGGAAGCCGCUCGCCCUCAUGAAUAUAUGGCAGGGUGUGCUGUUCCAACCACACAAAAGCCGAGCAGGUCUGAGGAACUGGAUUUUACAGAGUGAAAUCUAGUCUUCAAAAGAGUGGCAGAACCUUGGGAAAUCAACACAAACAUCUUUUGAGCAGCUACAAACAGACUUCCUUUGGUUGGUGUACGGACAGGCAUCCAGUAGAGACUGAGACCACCAGCCCAUUUCAUACAGGCCACUGAACAGUCAGAAGACGGUAACAACCUUGGGUCUCUGGUGACCUGAACUGGAUUCAACUCACUGACCUAGAGGGAAUCUACAUGUCCUUUGAAACAAAAGGAAGUCAAAGAAAUUUACAGAAACAAGAGAUAACAAAACAAUUUCAAAUCAUAAACCACAGAUUUAAAUUGCCUUGUUUUCCUUCCAACUGCUCGG